CAGCAGCCGCGGUAAUACGUAGGGUGCGAGCGUUAAUCGGAAUUACUGGGCGUAAGGCGUGCGCAGGCGGCUUUGCAAGACAGAGGUGAAAUCCCCGGGCUCAACCUGGGAACUGCCUUUGUGACUGCAAGGCUAGAGUACGGCAGAGGGGGAUGGAAUUCCGCGUGUAGCAGUGAAAUGCGUAGAUAUGCGGAGGAACACCGAUGGCGAAGGCAAUCCCCUGGGCCUGUACUGACGCUCAUGCACGAAAGCGUGGGGAGCAAACAGGAUUAGAUACCCUGGUAGUCCACGCCCUAAACGAUGUCAACUGGUUGUUGGACGGCUUGCUGUUCUAGUAACGAAGCUAACGCGUGAAGUUGACCGCCUGGGGAGUACGGCCGCAAGGUUGAAACUCAAAGAAAUUGACGG
rnacentral:rRNA from 1 species